rnacentral:rRNA from 1 species
UGCCAGCAGCCGCGGUAAUACGGAGGGUGCAAGCGUUAUCCGGAAUUACUGGGUUUAAAGGGUGCGUAGGCGGCGUUAUAAGUCAGAGGUGAAAGCUCACAGCUUAACUGUGAAAUUGCCUCCGAAACUGUAAUGCUUGAAUCACGCUGAGGUCAGCGGAAUGUGACAUGUAGCGGUGAAAUGCAUAGAUAUGUCAUAGAACACCAAUUGCGAAGGCAGCUGACUGAGCGUGUAUUGACGCUGAGGCACGAAAGCGUGGGUAGCGAACAGGAUUAGAUA